AAUAGAUACCCGGGUAGUCCACGCCGUAAACGAUGAGUGCUAAGUGUUAGAGGGUUUCCGCCCUUUAGUGCUGCAGCCAACGCAUUAAGCACUCCGCCUGGGGAGUACGGCCGCAAGGCUGAAACUCAAAGGAAUUGACGGGGGCCCGCACAAGCGGUGGAGCAUGUGGUUUAAUUCGAAGCAACGCGAAGAACCUUACCAGGUCUUGACAUCCUCUGCCAACCCUAGAGAUAGGACGUUCCCCUUCGGGGGACAGAGUGACAGGUGGUGCAUGGUUGUCGUCAGCUCGUGUCGUGAGAUGUUGGGUUAAGUCCCGCAACGAGCGCAACCCUUGAUCUUAGUUGCCAGCAUUCAGUUGGGCACUCUAAGGUGACUGCCGGUGACAAACCGGAGGAAGGUGGGGAUGACGUCAAAUCAUCAUGCCCCUUAUGACCUGGGCUACACACGUGCUACAAUGGAUGGUACAAAAGAGCUGCGAACCCGCGAGGGUAAGCGAAUCUCAUAAAAGCCAUUCUCAGUUCGGAUUGUAGG
rnacentral:rRNA from 1 species